rnacentral:misc_RNA from 1 species
CCCACCUUCACCGUACCCAUCCGUGGGACCAGAGUAACAAUAAUGCUCUCAUCCCCCUCGGCCUUGAGAUCCUCCAACAAACGAUUGAUUCCCAGCCUCAGAGAGGUCCUGAGUGUAGCCUCUUCUUUUAUAUGGUUGUGUGCUACGCUGACGAAGCUCCCCGCAAACUCACUGGUUGCUGAUGUUACCCCCUCCUGACCCUCUGGUGCAUUGAUGUAGACGUCAAACUUGGUGUACUCACCCUUCGGAAUCUCGAGUCCCCCUACAGUCAGCACCUCCUCCUCCUUCUCCUUCUCAUUCUGACUUCUUGACGGCCGCUUCCUACUCACCGUCACACUCACCGGCUUGUCCAGUGUUAUUGGGAACUUGAUUUCACCAGUUGUGGGGGCCUUCUUGACGGAGGCGCUUCUCUUCUUGACAGUGACAGCCGGGCUUGGUCGUGAGUUGAUCCAUGGGUUGCUUACCUUCUGGUAAGAGUAACGCAACUUACUCAUGUCCAGGCAGUCCUUGAUGGUGACCUUCACCACGUCCGCGUUCUCGUCGUAGAAGAGAAACUGAGAGUUGAGCCAAUCUGGGUCUGUGAAAUUGCGGCGAUUUCCUCCAUCAAGAGAGAGCCAGACGUCCCAGAGGCGGUCGAUGUUGGCGUGGUGUGAGUAGAAGAUGGGGUCGAAUGCGGCCGAGUAGAGGUUGCCCAUGUUCUCCGCAUUUUUCUGUCUCUUGUCACCGGUCCAGUAAUGGACCGGGCUGUGGGGGACGUUCUCCAUCGAGCCUGGGCCCGGGGUUUCAUUGGUGUUGGGCGGAUUGCCUCUACGGUAGGGGAGUCCCAUGUAGAGGGUGGCUGUCGUCGCAUCCACGACACUGCGGUGCAUGAUGGUGAGGUUGUAAUCGAUCUGCUGGGCGGGAGUGGGUGGGCCAUCCGUGGGGCUGUUGAAGUCGAGGUUGAUUAUGGUUGAUGGCGUGUGGGUCACAUCCCGUAGAGGAUCGUACAGUGGACUAUUUUUGUCUGUGUACAUAAGAGGUAGUGUCAUUCCGGCAGGGUGGUCCCAGUUCCAGAACGGCAGCCCGAAGGUGUCAUCGCCGAUGAGGCUGCCGAG